GUGUUGUAUGAAAGGAGAGGUUAGCACUCCUCUUAACAAGGAUGGAAGAGGCCCUCAGGCCUAACAACACCCAGAAAGUUAAGGCAUUGCCACCUACUUUGUGGCAUCUAACCAACAUUUUUA
ensembl:snRNA